rnacentral:lncRNA from 7 species
CCGGCAGCUCCUUCAUUACCUCUCUCGCCAUUGCCGCACUCGACUUCCGAAUUUGCGCCCGACCGAUGCUCGGGAUGGGUCUCGGAGGUCCGCCGACAUUCAUGGUGCUCGUCCGUGCCAUUCCUUGGAUGCGCAGGUCACUUGGGUCCGGAGAAUUCCUCACCGGAGCGCAGGACGUCGCCGCGGGCCGCACUGCUCCAUGGCUGCGGCUCGUCUCGACAUCAUCUCAGGCGAGGAACUAACCCCCAUCUUCGUCGUGACUGCAACAUCGUGUGGAGCUAUCGGGAUGUGAAUUUCGUGGCCGGAAUAUCGAUCUGGCCAUUUCCGGCCAUGGCCACCACCGUGUAUGCUGGUGGCGCCGUCGCGGCGGUAGCUGGGGGAAAACGGGGUGGAAUUCGUAGGGGAGCUGUGUGGACGUCGAUCGGUGAUCGUGCGAACAAGAUUUGAUCGAGAACGAACGGUUAGAAAUAGACCUAGAGUAAUAAAAUCCUCACCAUUGAUUUCAGAUCCAAUGGUUCUCGUCGCU